UACAGAGGUCUCAAGCGUUGUUCGGAUUCAUUGGGCGUAAAGGGUGCGUAGGCGGGUCUUUAAGUCAGGGGUGAAAUCCUGGAGCUCAACUCCAGAACUGCCUUUGAUACUGAAGAUCUUGAGUUCGGGAGAGGUGAGUGGAACUGCGAGUGUAGAGGUGAAAUUCGUAGAUAUUGGGAAGAACACCGGUGGCGAAGGCGGCGCUCUGGACCGAGACUGACGCUGAGGCGCGAAAGCGUGGGGAGCAAACAGG
rnacentral:rRNA from 1 species